UCCGAGCUUGCCGGCUUUCCACUCCUUAGUGUUUUCGAAGACCUUUCUUAAGACAAGGUUGCCCAUUUCGAGAGGACGCGACUUGACCUUUUUGUUGUAAUAGCUUUCGAUUUGAUGUUGGUAAUUCUGGAUACGGAGUAACGCUUGGUCGCGCUUUUCCUCGAUGUCGUCGAGUGCGUCGAGGAGCAUGUCGCGGUUGAGUUCGGCGUUCUGUGGCAUUCG
rnacentral:lncRNA from 1 species